CACCCAGUCAGAUUCUCUCAGGCUGCAGCUUUAUAAAGCAGAGCCCAGUGAAGGGAGAGUUUAUCAGGAACCAGGCACAGGGACAGGAGCACACACCAUGAUUUCACACAUCCAGCUGAUCUGGCCCCUGGCAUUCUGUGUCGCAAGUAUCAGUGGAGACAUCAUCAUGACCCAGUCUCCCCCGGUGCUGUCAGUGGAACUGGGCCAGACCGCAACACUCACCUGUAAAUCCAGUCAGAGUACCACGACUGAAGUUGAAUGGUUCCAGCAGCGAGAAGGACAGAAACCCUCUCUCCUGAUCUACAAUGCAGUAGCACGAUACAAAGGAGUCUCCGACAGAUUCACCGGGACAGAAUUGUCCAGCACACACUUCACCCUGACAAUCAGCAACGUUCAGGAUGAGGAUGUCGCUGACUAUUACUGUCAGCAAAGUUGGAGCUGGCCUUGGUGCAGUGAUACAGAGCCAUACAAAAACCUCAAUACACACAGCACUAUUGCCUGUACUGACACAUCCCACUGAUACAUAUAAUAUAUAAUAAUGGACACACAGUCCCACCUCCUGCACUGACACAUCCCAUAACCAUACAUAAUAUAUAAUAAUGAACACACAGUCACAGUUAUAUGUAAACAAAACUUUACAAAUUAGCUCCAUGCCAGGCUUGUCACUAUUCAGUCCCUGUGGUAGUCACUGUUCACUUAAAGCCUUGAGUUUCCUUAUUACACUUAUGAGCACAUGUGAAGAGCAAUUGCAAGGGUGAACUUUGAAAAAUAAAGUUCACAAACCUCCCAAGCCCAGCUGGACACAGCCCAGACAGAGAGACAGGGACUCAACAGAAAGAGAGAAAUAGUUUGAAAAAAACAGAGAUAAAAGAAGACAUAAGUGACAGUGAGAAAGACAGUGAGAAGGUGAGAGUAAGUGACAGACAGAGAGGGACAGGGAGAAGGUGAAAGUGAAUGAGCGACAGAGAGAGAAAGG